rnacentral:rRNA from 1 species
UCUUGCGCAGCUUAGGUGGGAGGCUAUGAACCUUUUCUUCUGGGAAGAGGGGAGCCAUCAGUGAGAUACCACUCUUGGUAAGCUAGAGCGCUCAGUCUUCACCGUCAUCCGGUAAGACGACAGUUUCAGGCGGGCAGUUUGACUGGGGCAGUCACCUCCCAAAAGGUAAUGGAGGUGUGCAAAGGUUCCCUCAGGCUGGACGGAAAUCAGCCAUAGAGUGUAAAAGCAUAAGGGAGCUUGACUGCGAGACUGACAUGUCAAGCAGAGACGAAAGUCGGCUUUAGUGAUCCGACGGUGCUGUGUGGAAAGGCCGUCGCUCAACGGAUAAAAGUUACUCUAGGGAUAAC